rnacentral:rRNA from 1 species
AAUAUUGCACAAUGGGGGAAACCCUGAUGCAGCGACGCCGCGUGAGCGAAGAAGGCCUNCGGGUCNUNAAGCUCUGUCCUUGGGGNCGAAGGUCUUCGGACUUGACGGUACCUAAGGAGGAAGCCCCGGCCAACUACGUGCCAGCAGCCGCGGUAAUACGUAGGGGGCAAGCGUUGUCCGGAAUUAUUGGGCGUAAAGGGUGCGUAGGCGGCCUUUUAAGUCAGACGUGAAAGCCCAAGGCUUAACCGUGGGAAUGCAUUUGAAACUGGAGGGCUUGAGUAUCGGAGAGGGUAGUGGAAUUCCCAGUGUAGCGGUGGAAUGCGUAGAUAUUGGGAGGAACACCAGUGGCGAAGGCGACUACCUGGACGAAAACUGACGCUGAGGCACGAAAGCUAGGGGAGCAAAC